GUGCCCUCCUCCCUUUUUUUCCCAAUUCCAAAAUCAAGGCAUCAAGCUACCUCCACCGAGCACCGAUCCACCUCCACUGAUCCACCUCCACCGGUCCACCUCCAGUCCUGCAACCAGUUCUAGAAUCGGGCAUUUAAGGAUAUGAUAACUUUUAUCCAAGAACACAUAUGAUGCUCCUUUAAAAGGAGGAUACGAGUACCAAUUUGGUUUCUCAUACAAUGUGGCCUAGGAGAAGCUAUCCUCUUUAUUCCUUCAAAUCUGAUCAUCUUCAUAAUCCACUUCAAUAAAUGCACCACAAAUGGUGGGUGAAAAGGAAUGUUGAAUGAUAAGAUAGCAACAUAUGCAUAUGACUUGGAAGAAAAGGAGAGGAAAUACUUGAAGUACAUAAGAUAUAUGGUUUAGAAUUACUAAUCAUGUAGGUCAUAUAUUUGGAUCCAUAUUUAUUGAUUAAGUUUUUAGUAUAUAAGUGCCAACAGCUCCGUAAACUAUCAACGAUUCAGAGUUCAUUUUGCUAAGCAAACCAUUUUCUUAUAAAGGGUUUUGCUAACAAGCAUGUUUAUGGCACUCUUUAAAGUUAGUAAAUGUAUUAUUUAUAAUAACAUUGUAUCAUGUGCAAUAGUUGACAAGUUUAUUCAUCA